AUUGAACGCUGGCGGCAUGCUUUACACAUGCAAGUCGAACGGCAGCGCGGGCUUCGGCCUGGCGGCGAGUGGCGAACGGGUGAGUAAUAAAUAGGAACGUGCCCUGCAGUGGGGGCUAGCUCGGCUAAAGCCGGCCUAAUACAGCAUACGACCUGAUGGUGAAAGCGGGGGAUCUUAAGACCUCGCGCUACUUGCGCUGCCGUUGGCAGAUUAGCUAGUUGGUGGGGUAAAGGCCUACCAAGGCGACGAUCGAUAGCUGGUCUGAGAGGGCGACCUGCCACACUGGAACUGAGACACGGCCCAGACUCCUACGGGAGGCAGCAGUGGGGAAUUUUGGACAAAGGGCGAAAGCCUGAACCAGCAAAGCCGCGUGGGUGAUGAAGGCCUUCGGAUUGUAAAGCACUUUUAGCAGGAAAGAAAAGGUCUGUAAGAAUCUGACGAUACGUUGACGGUACCCGCAGAAUAAGCACCGGCUAACUACGUG
rnacentral:rRNA from 1 species